AUGAGCGAAGGGAAGGCUAAGGGAUUUCGUGAGGAUGAGUACGAUACCCUACGAUUUGAGGACCGUGUUUACGUGCCAAAUGACCCGGAGAUCAGGAAGUUGAUUCUGCAAGAGGCACAUGAUUCACCAUAUUCGAUUCACCCCGGGAAUACCAAGAUGUAUUUGGAUUUGAAGGAAACUUUCUGGUGGACCGGAAUGAAGAAGGAUAUUGCAGAGUAUGUAGCAGUUUGUGAUGUAUGUCAGAGGGUGAAAGCAGAACACCAGAAGCCAGCCGGAUUGUUGCAGCCAUUGCCUAUACCAGAAUGGAAGUGGGACAAACUAGGCAUGGAUUUCAUCACGGGAUUGCCCAGGACUCGUUCAGGCUAUGACUCAAUUUGGGUUGUAGUCGAUCGUUUGACAAAGGUAGCUCAUUUCAUCCCAGUAAAGACUACCUACAGCGGUGCCAAAUUGGCUAAGAUAUACAUGACAAGGAUUGUAUGUUUGCAUGGAGUUCCGAGGAGUAUCGUAUCAGAUAGAGGAACCCAAUUCACCUCAAAGUUCUGGAAACAGUUGCACGAAACAUUGGGAACCAGGCUGGAGUUUAGCACAGCUUUCCAUCCACAGACAGAUGGACAGACCGAGAGAGUCAAUCAGAUUUUGGAGGAUAUGCUUAGAGCUUGUGUUUUGGAUUAUGGAUCAAGUUGGGAUGACAACUUGCCAUACGCGGAGUUUUCUUACAACAAUAUUUAUCAAUCCAGUUUGAAGAUGGCCCCUUUCGAAGCCUUGUACGGAAGGAGGUGCAGAACCCCGUUGUUGUGGGAUGAGGUAGGAGAUCGCCAGUUGUUUGGACCGGAUUUGAUUAAGGAGUCUGAACAGAAGGUAAAACUGAUCCGCGACAGGCUCAAGGUAGCUCAGUCAAGACAGAAGAGCUAUGCAGAUUCAAAACGCAAGGGGACAGAAUAUGAAGUCGGAGACAGAGUUUAUCUUCGAGUAUCUCCACUUCGAGGAGUUAAGCAUUUCGGAGUUAAAGGGAAGUUAGCACCACGUUUUGUGGGGCCAUACAAAGUUUUGGAACGCAUGGAAGAAGUAGCGUACAAGUUGGAAUUACCUGAGGGAUUGUCAGGAGUUCACGAUGUGUUCCAUGUUUCUCAGUUGAAGAAGUGUCAUGCAGAGAUGGCUGAUAUACCACUAAGAGAUACAAUGCCAGUGGAAGCAAUUCAGUUGAAGGAUGAUUUGACUUAUGAAGAGAAACCAGUUAGAAUUCUGGAUUAUGCCAGUCGAGUUACCCGCAGUAAGGUUAUCAAGUUUUGCAAAGUUCAAUGA
rnacentral:rRNA from 1 species